ACUUCAUAAAGGCCUUUUGAUGAUGAGGCCAAUGAUGCUGGAGCCUGGACUGUGGAAAGAGGAGGCUGGCCACAGCAGAAUCAUUGAGCCACACAGUCCCCAAGAGGCCACUUGGAUCUCAUGCAGCCCCGGCUGGCCUUGAACUAGAUGCACAGAGGACCGUAAACUUCUGAUCGUCCAACCUUUACCUCCAGAGUGCUGAGAUUAUGCAUGCGCCACCACACCCAGUUUAUGGGGCUCUGGAGAUCAGACCCCAUACUUCUAGCAUACAAUCAGAGCUGCAUCCCGGCCCUUGUUCCAGUUUCGGAUUCACCAUUCUGAUAUACCUGGCUUACAGUGAACAGAGUCAUACCAUAGACACAGGAAUCUGGACCUGCACCCUCCACCUGGGCUAUGGCUAUGAAACUGCAAAUCACCUGAGGGGAAAUAAGUGAGCGCCUCUGGCCUGUGGUAACUAACAGAUUUUGAUGGCCCCUCCCCUAGAAGACGACGACCUCAGCUGGGAUACCCCAAGCCUUAAAGACUUCAACUGAAGACUUCACUACCCACUGUGUGGGAGUUUUCAUCAGCUCGACACAGCUAGAGCUUCUCCGGAAGUUGGAACCGCGAUUGAGAAAAUGCUUCCACCAGCCUGGCCUAUGGGAAACCUGUG